rfam:Brassica oleracea var. oleracea cultivar TO1000 chromosome C6, whole genome shotgun sequence
GAAAGUUAAGAAACUGUUUCUUAACUUUUAACUAAGAAUAUUAAGAACCGGUUCUUAAAGUCGUUAUUUAAGAACCGGUUCUUAACUUUUUUAGUUAAAAGUUAAGAAACAGUUUCUUAACUUCC